rnacentral:rRNA from 1 species
AUUCCAGCUCCAAUAGCGUAUAUUAAAGUUGUUGCAGUUAAAAAGCUCGUAGUUGGAUUUCUGGUUUGAUGCCCUGGCCCGCUUCAAAUUUUGGAGUGUGUGCCGGCUGUGCGUCUGCCAUCCUUCUAGAAAACGUUCGUACCCUUCACUGGGCCGCGUUCGAGAUCUAGAUCUUUUACUUUGAAAAAAUUAGAGUGUUUAAAGCAGGCAGUUGCUAUGAAUACAUUAGCAUGGAAUAAUAAUCUAGGACUUCGGUUCUAUUUUGUUGGUUUGCACACCAAGGUAAUGAUUAAUAGGGAUAGUCGGGGGCAUUCGUAUUCAAACGACAGAGGUGAAAUUCUUGGACCGUUUGAAGACGAACUAAGGCGAAAGCAUUUGCCAAGAAUGUUUUCAUCA